rnacentral:rRNA from 1 species
UACGUAGGGUGCAAGCGUUGUCCGGAAUUAUUGGGCGUAAAGAGCUCGUAGGCGGCUUGUCGCGUCGGCUGUGAAAACCUGGGGCUCAACCCCGGGCCUGCAGCCGAUACGGGCAGACUAGAGGUAUGCAGGGGGAGAACGGAAUUCCUGGUGUAGCGGUGGAAAUGCGCAGAUAUCAGGAGGAACACCGGUGGCGAAGGCGGUUCUCUGGGACGGUACUGACGCUGAGACGCGAAAGCGUGGGGGAGCGAACAGG